CACGUAGUUAGCCGUGACUUUCUAAGUAAUUACCGUCAAAUAAAGGCCAGUUACUACCUCUAUCUUUCUUCACUACCAACAGAGCUUUACGAGCCGAAACCCUUCUUCACUCACGCGGCGUUGCUCCAUUAGACUUUCGUCCAUUGUGGAAGAUUCCCUACUGCUGCCUCCCGUAGGAGUUUGGGCCGUGUCUCAGUCCCAAUGUGGCCGAUCAGUCUCUCAACUCGGCUAUGCAUCAUUGCCUUGGUAAGCCGUUACCUUACCAACUAGCUAAUGCACCGCAGGUCCAUCCAAGAGUGAUAGCAGAACCAUCUUUCAAACUCUAGACAUGCGUCUAGUGUUGUUAUCCGGUAUUAGCAUCUGUUUCCAGGUGUUAUCCCAGUCUCUUGGGCAGGUUACCCACGUGUUACUCACCCGUCCGCCGCUCGCUUGUAUCUAGUUUCAUUUAGUGCAAGCACUAAAAUCAUCUAGGCAAGCUCGCUCGACUUGCAUGU
rnacentral:rRNA from 1 species